rnacentral:antisense_RNA from 1 species
AUUCUUACUUUAGACACUAUUCCCACUUGUUUGGUUAUCUAUAUUCUGAGCCCACAAAUCAGAGGCAUCAAGUUAAAAAAGCUGAACGCUUGUAGAAUGGCACUAUCCAAUAUGGUAGCCAGUAGCCCCAUGUGCCUAUUGAGCACUUAAAAUGUGGCCAGUCCUAACUGCAAUGUGCUGGCUAGGGGAUAAGAAUGCAGCAGUGAACAUGGUUCCUGCAGUCAUGAAGCAAAUGUAUCCACUGUGAUACAAAAGAGACUGUAAAAAACAAACCCAAAUGGACAACAGAGUUCUGAACCAUCCUGUGACAAGUCUAGCUACCCUAAAGCUGUCAUGCAGGAGAGAUCAUGUGGAGAGAAGGAGAGUUAGACAGAGGAGGAGCCCCUGCUGUUUGAGUAUUCUCAGCCUAGACACCAGACAUGAGUGAGGAAGCAUUCAGACCCCAACUCCAGUUUAAAAACACCACCACUCAACAGCCUGUUUUCUGAGCCUACGACCACAUAUAUGCUGCAGAACUCUUUCAGGGUGUAUCUGAAACUACUUCUCUUAAAGGCAAGCUGUAACUGGCGCCAGAAAAGACAGAAGCUGAUUGAGGUCCCAGCUUGGUAACAGUUUGAAGAGUUGCAGGACUGGCUGGAUGAGUACUGGCUGCAGCAAGUCAUGCUGCCAGGAUUCUUUAUGGCUGUUUCUGCUUCCACUACAGCUGAGUCAGAAAGGUCGCUGCCCAGUGGUGGCAGUAGAUGCAG